rnacentral:rRNA from 1 species
GAUGAACGCUAGCUACAGGCUUAACACAUGCAAGUCGAGGGGUAACGAGAGGGAAGCUUGCUUUCCUUGUCGACGACCGGCGGAUGGGUGAGUAACGCGUAUCCAACCUGCCCUUCAGUAAGGGAUAGCCUUUCGAAAGAAAGAAUAAUACCUUAUGUGAUCGUUUGAUGACAUCAGACGACGAUCAAAGAUUUAUCGCUGAAGGAUGGGGAUGCGUCCCAUUAGGCAGUAGGCGGGGUGACGGCCCACCUAACCUACGAUGGGUAGGGGUUCUGAGAGGAAGGUCCCCCACAUUGGAACUGGGGCACGGUCCAAACUCCUACGGGAGGCAGCAGUGAGGAAGAUUGGUCAAUGGCCGUAAGGCUGAACCAGCCAAGUAGCGUGCAGGAUGACGGCCCUAUGGGUUGUAAACUGCUUUUAAACGGGGAUAAAGUGAGCCACGUGUGGUUUAUUGCAGGUACCGUUUGAAUAAGGACCGGCUAAUUCCGUGCCAGCCGCCGCCGUAA